AUUGAACGCUAGCGGCAUGCCUUACACAUGCAAGUCGAACGGCAGCACGGGGCAACCUGGUGGCGAGUGGCGAACGGGUGAGUAAUGCAUCGGAACGUACCUUUCAGUGGGGGAUAACGUAGCGAAAGUUACGCUAAUACCGCAUAUUCUGUGAGCAGGAAAGCAGGGGAUCGCAAGACCUUGCGCUGAUUGAGCGGCCGAUGUCAGAUUAGCUAGUUGGUGAGGUAAGGGCUCACCAAGGCGACGAUCUGUAGCGGGUCUGAGAGGAUGAUCCGCCACACUGGAACUGAGACACGGUCCAGACUCCUACGGGAGGCAGCAGUGAGGAAUUUUGGACAAUGGGGGCAACCCUGAUCCAGCCAUGCCGCGUGAGUGAAGAAGGCCUUCGGGUUGUAAAGCUCUUUCGGCCGGGAAGAAAUCGCAUGGGUUAAUACCCUGUGUGGAUGACGGUACCGGAAUAAGAAGCACCGGCUAACUACGUGCCAGCCGCCGCAGUAAAAC
rnacentral:rRNA from 1 species